rnacentral:rRNA from 1 species
GGUUAAGCGACUAAGCGUACACGGUGGAUGCCCUGGCAGUCAGAGGCGAUGAAGGACGUGCUAAUCUGCGAAAAGCGCCGGCGAGGUGAUAUGAACCUUUGACCCGGCGAUGUCCGAAUGGGGAAACCCAGUGCAAUUCGUUGCACUAUCGUUAACUGAAUACAUAGGUUAACGAGGCGAACCGGGGGAACUGAAACAUCUAAGUACCCCGAGGAAAAGAAAUCAACCGAGAUUCCCCCAGUAGCGGCGAGCGAACGGGGAGCAGCCCAGAGUCUGAAUCAGCUUGUGUGUUAGUGGAAGCGUCUGGAAAGUCGCACGGUACAGGGUGACAGUCCCGUACACGAAAGCACACAGGCUGUGAACUCGAAGAGUAGGGCGGGACACGUGGUAUCCUGUCUGAAUAUGGGGGGACCAUCCUCCAAGGCUAAAUACUCCUGACUGACCGAUAGUGAACCAGUACCGUGAGGGAAAGGCGAAAAGAACCCCGGCGAGGGGAGUGAAAAAGAACCUGAAACCGUGUACGUACAAGCAGUGGGAGCACCUUCGUGGUGUGACUGCGUACCUUUUGUAUAAUGGGUCAGCGACUUAUAUUCUGUAGCAAGGUUAACCGUAUAGGGGAGCCGAAGGGAAACCGAGUCUUAACUGGGCGUUAAGUUGCAGGGUAUAGACCCGAAACCCGGUGAUCUAGCCAUGGGCAGGUUGAAGGUUGGGUAACACUAACUGGAGGACCGAACCGACUAAUGUUGAAAAAUUAGCGGAUGACUUGUGGCUGGGGGUGAAAGGCCAAUCAAACCGGGAGAUAGCUGGUUCUCCCCGAAAGCUAUUUAGGUAGCGCCUCGUGAACUCAUCUUCGGGGGUAGAGCACUGUUUCGGCUAGGGGGCCAUCCCGGCUUACCAACCCGAUGCAAACUACGAAUACCGAAGAAUGUUAUCACGGGAGACACACGGCGGGUGCUAACGUCCGUCGUGAAGAGGGAAACAACCCAGACCGCCAGCUAAGGUCCCAAAGUCAUGGUUAAGUGGGAAACGAUGUGGGAAGGCACAGACAGCCAGGAUGUUGGCUUAGAAGCAGCCAUCAUUUAAAGAAAGCGUAAUAGCUCACUGGUCGAGUCGGCCUGCGCGGAAGAUGUAACGGGGCUAAACCAUGCACCGAAGCUGCGGCAGCGACGCUUAGGCGUUGUUGGGUAGGGGAGCGUUCUGUAAGCCGUUGAAGGUGUGCUGUGAGGCAUGCUGGAGGUAUCAGAAGUGCGAAUGCUGACAUAAGUAACGAUAAAGCGGGUGAAAAGCCCGCUCGCCGGAAGACCAAGGGUUCCUGUCCAACGUUAAUCGGGGCAGGGUGAGUCGACCCCUAAGGCGAGGCCGAAAGGCGUAGUCGAUGGGAAACAGGUUAAUAUUCCUGUACUUGGUGUUACUGCGAAGGGGGGACGGAGAAGGCUAUGUUAGCCGGGCGACGGUUGUCCCGGUUUAAGCAUGUAGGCGGAGGUUCCAGGUAAAUCCGGUACCUUUUAACGCUGAGGUGUGAUGACGAGGCACUACGGUGCUGAAGUAACAAAUGCCCUGCUUCCAGGAAAAGCCUCUAAGCAUCAGGUAACAUCAAAUCGUACCCCAAACCGACACAGGUGGUCAGGUAGAGAAUACCAAGGCGCUUGAGAGAACUCGGGUGAAGGAACUAGGCAAAAUGGUGCCGUAACUUCGGGAGAAGGCACGCUGAUAUGUAGGUGAAGCCCCUGCGGGUGGAGCUGAAAUCAGUCGAAGAUACCAGCUGGCUGCAACUGUUUAUUAAAAACACAGCACUGUGCAAACACGAAAGUGGACGUAUACGGUGUGACGCCUGCCCGGUGCCGGAAGGUUAAUUGAUGGGGUUAGCGGUAACGCGAAGCUCUUGAUCGAAGCCCCGGUAAACGGCGGCCGUAACUAUAACGGUCCUAAGGUAGCGAAAUUCCUUGUCGGGUAAGUUCCGACCUGCACGAAUGGCGUAAUGAUGGCCAGGCUGUCUCCACCCGAGACUCAGUGAAAUUGAACUCGCUGUGAAGAUGCAGUGUACCCGCGGCAAGACGGAAAGACCCCGUGAACCUUUACUAUAGCUUGACACUGAACACUGGUCCUUGAUGUGUAGGAUAGGUGGGAGGCUUUGAAGCGUGGACGCCAGUCUGCGUGGAGCCGACCUUGAAAUACCACCCUUUAAUGGCUGGUGUUCUAACGUAGACCCGUGAUCCGGGUUGCGGACAGUGUCUGGUGGGUAGUUUGACUGGGGCGGUCUCCUCCCAAAGAGUAACGGAGGAGCACGAAGGUUAGCUAAUCCUGGUCGGACAUCAGGAGGUUAGUGCAAUGGCAUAAGCUAGCUUGACUGCGAGAGUGACGGCUCGAGCAGGUGCGAAAGCAGGUCAUAGUGAUCCGGUGGUUCUGAAUGGAAGGGCCAUCGCUCAACGGAUAAAAGGUACUCCGGGGAUAACAGGCUGAUACCGCCCAAGAGUUCAUAUCGACGGCGGUGUUUGGCACCUCGAUGUCGGCUCAUCACAUCCUGGGGCUGAAGUAGGUCCCAAGGGUAUGGCUGUUCGCCAUUUAAAGUGGUACGCGAGCUGGGUUUAGAACGUCGUGAGACAGUUCGGUCCCUAUCUGCCGUGGGCGCUGGAGAAUUGAGGGGGGCUGCUCCUAGUACGAGAGGACCGGAGUGGACGCAUCACUGGUGUUCGGGUUGUCAUGCCAAUGGCACUGCCCGGUAGCUAAAUGCGGAAAAGAUAAGUGCUGAAAGCAUCUAAGCACGAAACUUGCCCCGAGAUGAGUUCUCCCUGACCCUUUAAGGGUCCUGAAGGAACGUUGAAGACUACGACGUUGAUAGGUCGGGUGUGUAAGCGCAGCGAUGCGUUGAGCUAACCGAUACUAAUGAACCGUGAGGCUUAACCUU